rnacentral:rRNA from 1 species
UACGUAGGGUGCUAGCGUUGUUCGGAAUCAUUGGGCGUAAAGCGCGUGUAGGCGGUCAGUUAAGUCGGAUGUGAAAUCCCUAGGCUCAACCAAGGAAGUGCAUUCGAAACUAGCUGGCUGGAAGACGGUAGAGGAAGGUGGAAUUCCUAGUGUAGAGGUGAAAUUCGUAGAUAUUAGGAGGAAUACCGGUGGCGAAGGCGGCCUUCUGGACUGUUCUUGACGCUGAGACGCGAAAGCGUGGGUAGCAAACAGG